GACGAACGCUGGCGGCGUGCCUAAUACAUGCAAGUUGAGCGAUGAAGAUUGGUGCUUGCACCAAUUUGAAGAGCAGCGAACGGGUGAGUAACGCGUGGGGAAUCUGCCUUUGAGCGGGGGACAACAUUUGGAAACGAAUGCUAAUACCGCAUAACAACUUUAAACAUAAGUUUUAAGUUUGAAAGAUGCAAUUGCAUCACUCAAAGAUGAUCCCGCGUUGUAUUAGCUAGUUGGUGAGGUAAAGGCUCACCAAGGCGAUGAUACAUAGCCGACCUGAGAGGGAGAUCGGCCACAUUGGGACUGAGACACGGCCCAAACUCCUACGGGAGGCAGCAGUAGGGAAUAUUCGGCAAUGGACGAAAGUCUGACCGAGCAACGCCGCGUGAGUGAAGAAGGUGUUCGGAUCGUAAAACUCUGUUGGUAGAGAAGAACGUUGGUGAGAGUGGAAAGCUCAUCAAGUGACGGUAACUACCCAGAAAGGGACGGCUAACUACGUG
rnacentral:rRNA from 1 species